CUACGGGCUGCUCCAGUGAGGAAUAUUGCACAAUGGGGGGAACCCUGAUGCGGCAACGCCGCGUGGAGGAUGACGCAUUUCGGUGUGUAAACUCCUUUUAUAUGUCAAGAAAAUGACGGUAGCAUAUGGAUAAGCACCGGCUAACUCCGUGCCAGCAGCCGCGGUAAUACGGAGGGUGCAAGCGUUACUCGGAAUCACUGGGCGUAAAGGACGCGUAGGCGGGUUGGAAAGUCAGGUGUGAAAUCCUACAGCUUAACUGUAGAACUGCACUUGAAACUUCUAAUCUAGAGUAUGGGAGGGGGAGAUGGAAUUAGUGGUGUAGGGGUAAAAUCCGUAGAUAUCACUAGGAAUACCUAAAGCGAAGGCGAUCUCCUGGAACAUUACUGACGCUAAGGCGUGAAAGCGUGGGGAGCAAACAGGAUUAGAUACCCGUGUAGUC
rnacentral:rRNA from 1 species